UACGUAGGGGGCUAGCGUUGUCCGGAAUCAUUGGGCGUAAAGCGCGUGUAGGCGGCCCGGUAAGUCCGCUGUGAAAGUCGGGGGCUCAACCCUCGGAUGCCGGUGGAUACUGUCGGGCUCGAGUACGGAAGAGGCGAGUGGAAUUCCUGGUGUAGCGGUGAAAUGCGUAGAUAUCGGGAGGAACACCUGCGGCGAAAGCGGCUGCCUGGACCGUAACCGACGCUGAGGCGCGAAAGCUAGGGGAGCAAACAGG
rnacentral:rRNA from 1 species